rnacentral:rRNA from 1 species
AUUGAACGCUGGCGGCAGGCCUAACACAUGCAAGUCGAGCGGAUGAAGGGAGCUUGCUCCUGGAUUCAGCGGCGGACGGGUGAGUAAUGCCUAGGAAUCUGCCUGGUAGUGGGGGAUAACGUCCGGAAACGGGCGCUAAUACCGCAUACGUCCUGAGGGAGAAAGUGGGGGAUCUUCGGACCUCACGCUAUCAGAUGAGCCUAGGUCGGAUUAGCUAGUUGGUGGGGUAAAGGCCUACCAAGGCGACGCUCCGUAACUGGUCUGAGAGGAUGAUCAGUCACACUGGAACUGAGACACGGUCCAGACUCCUACGGGAGGCAGCAGUGGGGAAUAUUGGACAAUGGGCGAAAGCCUGAUCCAGCCAUGCCGCGUGUGUGAAGAAGGUCUUCGGAUUGUAAAGCACUUUAAGUUGGGAGGAAGGGCAGUAAGUUAAUACCUUGCUGUUUUGACGUUACCAACAGAAUAAGCACCGGCUAACUUCGUG